rnacentral:rRNA from 1 species
AGAGUUUGAUCCUGGCUCAGAGCGAAUGCUGGCGGUGUGCCUCAGACAUGCAAGUCGAGCGAGAAAAGGGAAACCUUAGUAAAGCGGCGUACGGGUGAGUAAUACAUAGGUAACCUGUCCUUGAGUGGGGGAUAACACCUCGAAAGAGGUGCUAAUACCGCAUAAUGUCUAUUUACAUAAGUGAUUAGACCAAAGAUGGUCACUGCAUGAAAAUUGUCGCUUAAGGAGGGACUUAUGUCCUAUCAGCUUGUUGGUGAGAUUACAGCUCACCAAGGCUAUGACGGGUAGCUGGUCUGAGAGGAUGGCCAGCCACACUGGGACUGAAACACGGCCCAGACUCCUACGGGAGGCAGCAGUCGGGAAUAUUGCGCAAUGGGGGAAACCCUGACGCACCGACACCGCGUGGGUGAUGAAGGCCUUCGGGUUGUAAAGCCCUGUUAGGAGAGAAGAACACUUCAAGCAUCAGAUCCUUGAAGAUGACUGUAUCUCCAGAGGAAGCACCGGCUAACUCUGUGCCAGCAGCCGCGGUAAUACAGAGGGUGCUAGCAUUGCUCGGAAUCACUGGGCGUAAAGCGUGUCUCGGUGGUGGUAUGUGUCAAAUGUGAAAUCCCUUGGCUCAACCAAGGAACUGCAGUUGAAACUAUAUCGCUAGGGUACGGAAGAGGGAAGCGGAAUUCCCGGUGUAGAGGUGAAAUUCGUAGAUAUCGGGAAGAACACCAGAGGCGAAGGCGGCUUCCUGGUCCGUAACCGACACUCAAACACGAAAGCGUGGGGAGCAAACAGGAUUAGAUACCCUGGUAGUCCACGCCCUAAACGAUGGGUGCUAGGUGUUGGAAGCGUUGACCCUUUCAGCGCCGAAGCUAACGCGUUAAGCACCCCGCCUGGGGAGUACGGUCGCAAGAUUAAAACUCAAAGGAAUUGACGGGGGCCCGCACAAGCGGUGGAGCAUGUGGUUCAAUUCGACGCAACGCGAAGAACCUUACCUGGACUUAACAUCCCGCGAAUUCUGUGGAAACACGGAAGUGCCCGUAAGGGAACGCGGUGAUAGGUGCUGCAUGGCUGUCGUCAGCUCGUGUCGUGAGAUGUUGGGUUAAGUCCCGCAACGAGCGCAACCCUUGCCUCUUGUUGCUAACAGGUAAUGCUGAGCACCCUAGAGGGACUGCCGGUGUUAAACCGGAGGAAGGUGGGGAUGACGUCAAGUCCUCAUGGCCUUUAUGUUCAGGGCUACACACGUGCUACAAUGGUAUGUACAAAGGGUUGCCAACCCGCAAGGGGGAGCGAAUCUCAAAAAGCAUACCUCAGUACGGAUUGGAGUCUGCAACUCGACUCCAUGAAGUUGGAAUCGCUAGUAAUCGCGGAUCAGAAUGCCGCGGUGAAUACGUUCCCGGGCCUUGUACACACCGCCCGUCACACCACGAAAGUUGAUUGGACCAGAAGUCAGAAUUCUAACCUGUAAGGGAUGAUACUGCCGAAGGUCUGGUUAGUGAUUGGGGUGAAGUCGUAACAAGGUA